rnacentral:lncRNA from 1 species
AAAUGGCUAAUAAGCCCAUCUAGUGUAACAAAAUCCGGAGAGGCCCCUCAAAAACUCAAAUUUACAUCAGUCCGAACUGGGCAGUUUUCGCCCAGAGGGACCGGUCUCUCCCCAGCAGGGACCGGUCUCUCGCUGCGAACCCGAAAAACCAACGUUCGGGAACCGGUCUCUCCCUGCGCGGGACCGGUCUCUCACUGCGUAGGCGCGCUCGGGGACCGGUCUCGCCUGCCAGGGACCGGUUGCCUCAAGGCUGCCGCAACACUGCUCACUGGGGGACCGGUCUCUCCUUUCAGGGACCGGUCCCCGAGAGUAAAAACUCUCAGGACUUGUCCCAAAUUCUAGUUUUCGAACUUUUUAGGUCGGAAAACAUUCUACAACCCUCCACAAAGUAUGGAAAAGCUCGAAAUACAUCCAAACACUCGAACCUCGC